rnacentral:rRNA from 1 species
AACGCGAAGAACCUUACCUGGGCUCGAAAUGUUGUGGACCGGGGUAGAAAUAUCCCUUCCCCGCAAGGGGCCGCAAUAUAGGUGCUGCAUGGCUGUCGUCAGCUCGUGUCGUGAGAUGUUGGGUUAAGUCCCGCAACGAGCGCAACCCUUAUCUCCAGUUGCUACCAUUUAGUUGAGCACUCUGGCGAAACCGCCUCGGAUAACGGGGAGGAAGGUGGGGAUGACGUCAAGUCCUCAUGGCCUUUAUGUCCAGGGCUACACACGUGCUACAAUGGCCGGUACAAACCGUCGCAAACCCGCGAGGGGGAGCUAAUCGGAAAAAGCCGGCCUCAGUUCGGAUCGCAGUCUGCAACUCGACUGCGUGAAGCUGGAAUCGCUAGUAAUCGCGGAUCAGAACGCCGCGGUGAAUACGUUCCCGGGCCUUGUACACACCGAUAGC